rnacentral:ncRNA from 1 species
GUAAAGUUUUAUUUUGGCUUAUAAAGUUAUUUUUAAUUUAUUUUAUAUGUAAAUUUUUGUGUGAAUUAUUAUUUAUUUUAAUAAUAAAUAAUUUAUAAUUAAUCGCAGUAAUUAGUAUUAUUAAUUAAAGAAAUUUAGAAAUAGUAAUAUUAAAGAGAAUUGGCUAAAUUCGUGCCAGCAGCCGCGGUUAUACGAAUAAUUCAAGUAACUUAAUUUUAGUAGAAGUUAAAUUGAUAUUUUUUAAAUAUAAAUAAAUUUAUUAAGUGAAAUUUUAAAUUUAUAUACUUUUAAAAAUUAGAAUAAUUGAAGCUUAGAAAUUUUAAUAAAAAACUAGGAUUAGAUACCCUAUUAUUUAAAAUGUAAUUAAAAAUACAAAAGUAGUAUUAGUUAUGUUCUUGAAACUUAAAAAAUUUGGCGGUAUUUUAGUCUAUUCAGAGGAACCUGUUCUAUAAUCGAUAAUCCACGAUGGACCUUACUUAAGUUUGUUAAUCAGUUUAUAUACCGUCGUUAUUAGAAUAUUUUAUAAGAAUAAUAAUUUUCAUAAUAUUUUAUUAAAUUAUAUAUCAGAUCAAGGUGUAGCUUAUAUUUAAGAAGAAAUGGGUUACAAUAAAUUUAUUUAAACGGAUAUAAAUAUGAAAAGUUUAUUGAAGGUGGAUUUGAUAGUAAAAUUAUAAAGAUUAAUAAUUUGAUUUUAGCUCUAAAAUAUGUACACAUCGCCCGUCGCUCUUAUUAAUAAGAUAAGAUAAGUCGUAACAUAGUAGAUGUACUGGAAAGUGUAUCUAGAAUGAC